CUCAAGGUCAUGAAAUUGAUUUUUCUCUUUUUUUUUUUUUAAGAGUUUAAUAAUUUAGCUCUUACAUUUAGGCUUCUGAUCUGUGAAAUGACUUUUCACAGAUGGCCCAGUACUAAUAGUGUCUGGCUCAAAGGUUGUGAGGACUUAAUAAGAUAACACUUAUAUUGCAAACAUAUUAAAAGCUCAGUAGAUGUUAACUGUUGUAGGUAUUACACCUGAAAACAAAUCAACUUGACUAAACAGAGUCCUUCAGUAUAUUAUGUUUAUACCUAAGCUACAGUGUUGAAAAAUGAACCUUUCAUCUAACUUUUUUUUUUUUUUUUUUUUUUUUUUUGCUUAAGAAAUCCAUAUACUUUAAAAAAUAGUUUUUAUUCUCCUUUGGUCCAGAAGGGUUAGGAACAAUAACUCAGUAGUUACUUCCUGUAUUAGUUUCUUAUUUGCUGCUGUAACACUUUUUCACAAAGUGAGUGCCUUAACACACAUGUACUUAUUAUCUUACAGUUCUGACUGGUGAUGCUGGGCUAAAACCAAGUUGUCACAGGGCUGUGUUCCCUUCCUAAGGCUUUAUGGGAGAAUCUGUUUCCUUGACUUUUCCAACCUAAGGACAUUCCUUUCCUCCAUCUUCAAAGCCUGCUAGCAACGUUGUAUCCUUCUGUGCCAUUCAUCUACAGUCUUAUCUUUUACAGAUGCUUAUGAUUAUAUUGGGCCCACCCAGAUAAUCCUAUUUAAAGGUCACCAUAAUUAGUGACCUUAAUUCCCCUUUGUCAUGUAACAUAGUCACAGGUUCUGGGAAGCAGGAUGGGGAUAUCUUUGGGGUGAUUAUUCUGCCUAUUAUGCUUACUAAUGAUAAUUUCUACAAUCUGUGAUUGACAAGUGUUUCCCUUUGAUAGUUAGGGUCUCUAGACUUGGGACAUGUGAUAAAUGGACAUGAAAUGCAUGCCAUCCCCCAGAAUAUAUGGGAAAGUGAAAUCUACCAAUCUGCUCAGGAGACCCCUCUGUUUACCAGCGAGUCUGUUUUUACAGAACAAUCUUAGGUUUAUAGUGAGGGGGGGUUCCCCAGUCAGAUGGUUCAGACUUCCACUGACUGACUUCAGGAAAGCUGCCUGUACUCUCUGUGUUUGCGUAGUUGCAGAGUCAGGGUGAUGGAGAUUAAUGAGAGAAUCAGUAGAAACCUUUAGCAAAUCUCUUCCGUGGUAGCUGUUAUUAUUAUAGAUGUUGCCAUUAUUGGCCAGAAGCUAUUUAGGAUCUUGUAAUGGCCUCUCAGCCAUGAGAUGAAAACUGAAUUAUCUAUAAUACGAGUUUAAUGUCAAGUCAAUUUCAUUAUAUCUUUGGUCUUUGAAAAGCGGCAGUUGCUAUAUAAUUUGUAUAAUAAUUUUUUAAAUGAAUCUAUUUCUGUGAAACAAACCACUACUGUAUUUAGUUUUAAAAAACCUAUUCCAUGCAGCAAACCACCACGUACGUGUUUAUAUAUAACAAACCUGUACAUCCUGCACAUGUACUCCGGAACUUAAAAAAAAAUCUAUCCAUUUCCUGAUCAAGGUAGAUAGGCAUUUGCGAAGAUGAAACAAUCAAAUGUUCAGAUGAUCAAAUGGAGCCAUUAGCAACUACUGCCUAGCACAUGUAAGGAAUUACAUUUGGUUCUGCCUGGUUUCCUAAGGGACUUGACAGAUGCUGUCUUCUUAUGUUCAUUUGUAACCUGCCAAUUCAUGCAAAAUAUGCUUGCCUGCGAAGUUAGGGCUUCCAAUUGUAAGUAAUACGCUCUGUAUUUUUGUCAGUGGAUUGGAUCUUGUGGUAAGAACUGUGCAAGAUGAUCUUGGUUAUCUGCUAGGCUGAUUUCAGAGGUGCAGUCUGACUUACUGACCACUAAUCCUUGACACCACUCCCUGUGCCAUUCUGGGGGCACUGUCUGUCCUCUGCCCUGUGCCCCUUUGCCUGUCUCAUUCCUCCUGCUUGAGAUACCUUCUCUUUCCUGCUUCUGUUUCUCUGUAGCUUACACCUUAUUUGAGACACAAAGCAUUCUGGUUCCCUGUAUAUAACAUUUCCAUUGUAAAAAAUAAUUUAAUAUGCGAAAAUAGUUUUCCAAAAAAUCACUUGUGGAAAAACCUUGAAAACAUUAUGCUAAGUUAAAUAUGCCAGAUGCAAAAGGACCAACACUGUAUGAUUCUGCUUGUAUGGAAGAUCUAGAAUGGGCAAAUUCAGAGAGACAGGAUGGAGACUAGAGGUUGCCAAAGGGCUGGAGGGAGGGACAGAAUGGGGAAUUUAUUGCCUUAUAGUUAAAGAAUUUCUCUUCCAGGUGAUGAAAAAGAUAGAUAGUAGUGAUAAUUGUAUAAUGUUGUAAAUGUUACUAAUGCCACUGAAUUACAUACUUAAGAAUGGUUAAGAUGGCAAAUUUCGUUUUAUAUAUGUUAAUGUAAUUUUUAAAAAGGGAAAACAAAGUUGUCCAUAAUCCCACCCCUCGGAGAUUUCACUGUUAAUACUUUCGCAUCUUUUUCUUACCUUUAUUAAAAAAAACAGAAAACAAAAACAUUUCCUGACAGUCUUUCUUAUCAUUGAAAUUAGGAUCCUAGAGUAUAAUAUAGUCUAUAUCUUCUAUAAAAUCAGUCUAUAUCUUCUUUAAUUCAGUCUUCUUUCUUAAGCAUGUUUCCAUACGAUUGGAACCUUUGCAUCAGCCUGGUCAGCUACUUAAGAUUUCAUUCUAACCAGACUCAUUCAUUUAAAACAGUGCCACUAUAAUCUUUCUCAGCCUAUUCUUGUUAUGCUGACUUCCCCAUUUCAUUUAUUCAGCAAACAUUUACUGAGCAUUUGCUAUGUGCCAGUUAUACUUUGGGCCCUCGGAGGGAGGUAGAAGCCAGUAAUGGGGUUCAAAAUCUGGAGUCACAUCGUCUAACCUAUGCAAACCAGUUCUCUGUGAUAUAUUUUGAGAGACAUUGGGUGAUCUAUAGAUUCUAUACUAUUCAUCUGGUCCUAAAAUUCUCUGAUAUGGGGCAUUUAGUUCUGAAACCUGAAAACUAGCUAGAAGAAACCUGGCCAUGAACAAACUGUUAGAAGCACAUUUUAAAAGUUAGCUUUCACUGUUUUUCUCUAUUAGGGAGAUACCCAUGAAGCUUUUGGCCUUUCCUAAAAACUGAUUUGAAAUGUAAUGAACAAUUUGAAAUUUUCAUUCCCAAGAACAAAACAAAACACCCAAAUACAUCCCCUUAUUAGGAGUCUAAUGAAGGAAUGUUAAGUCUCACUUUUUUUUUUUAUUUUAAAGUUUU
rnacentral:lncRNA from 1 species